rnacentral:tRNA from 1 species
CGGGCGGCCGUUGAAUCGAAAGCGCGUCCUUGGUAAGGACGAGAGCCCGGGUUCAAAUCCCGGCCUAGGCUCUU